AGUCAGUAUCUAGGGAAAGCAUCCGCCUAUGGAGGGCACAGGCGUUGUAGGGACAGGUGGGAAGGGAGCUAUGGAAGGCUGAUCACUAGGCGCACAGGAGAGAGUUGAUGGAGAGUCACAGGAUGGUUGGCCUGGGCUGUAGGGGCUCUCAGCACACAGGCUUUGAGUCUAAGAGCUCUAGUUAAGAGCCAGUGAAGUGGCUCUGAAUAUCAAAUCAUUUGCUGCACAAUUUGAUGACAGAAGCUGGAUCCCUGGAACUCAGCAGGAGAAAAUGACUCCAAAAAGCUGUCAUCUGACCUCCCUUUGGGGGCUAGCAACCUUCAUCCACUCCCUCCCUGAGUCUGAAUUCCUCAUCAGUCUCAACCUGGUGCUUAAGGAGUGGCUGAUUUCUAGAGUCACUUUAGUCCAUGUUGAAGACAGAAAAGACUGGUCUCCAAUGGCAGCAAAUGAUGGCAGCAGCCACAGGGCCAGAACAGCAACAGUUAGAUAAACUCACCCACUGGAGACAAAGCUUCCUGUUAUGAUUUAUGAAGAAUUGCUGAUGAGUAGAUAUGCAUUUUGAGGAUUAAAGAUCUUGGCAGAGAUUACAAGUAAAGAAUGAAGCCAAGUACAUGAAGAUUGUUACUCGGCCAAGAGCCUUCAUCUGGUUAUUGUCGUCAAAUAAAUCAAUAUAUGUUUAA
rnacentral:lncRNA from 1 species